GAUUGCUGCCUUUUCAACCAGCCAAGGAUUCAUAUUUGGCCGCGACCAAUCCAAAUGGAAUGGUCUCAAAGUAACAUGGGGUGUUAAUCCGUUGUCGUCGUUCAAAAGUAUGCCGCGAACAAAACAAGAUGCUUUACACCAGGGUUGGGUAAAAAAGGAUGCUGGCGCUGGUUGCCAAGG